CCUGGGCGGCGAGGGCGGCACCGGCGUGCUGCUGACGCGCGGCGCCGGUCGCGAGUGGAGCUAUCCGGCGUUCUAUACGCUGGCGUCGGCC
rnacentral:tRNA from 1 species